CCCGCGGACCUUGACAAACCUUUGUAUUCCAUGUCAUGCUUAUUAGAAAACCGAGAGACAAUACAACCAGUAGCGUUGGAUCCCUUGGCACGUCGUUCGAUGAAGACCGUUGCAAAAUGCGAUAAGUGGUGUGAUAUGCAAGUCCAAAACUUAUACGUGAACCAUCGAAUUGUUGAACGCACUGCAUCGAGCCUUAUCCAGGAACGAUACGCCCCAUUGAGCGUCAUUAUGUCUUCGCGACUUGUUGCUUUUCACAGAGCGAUCUGUCCGGGCUCGGGAUUCACGACCCUUGGGUCGCGCUUCCUCAGAUACAUUGGCUGCGCCGGCGUGAACGGCGACCUUGUCAUGAAUGUCGAGGUGUGCCGUGAGCUCUGCAUGCAGGAUCCUUCGCAACGUCGAUGGAUCAGACGCGUUCCGGCCUCUGAGCCGGGAUUGCAACUUCUCCACAUGACCUCACGGGGGUGGGACGACCCGCUAGACUUAAGCAUAUUAAUCAGCGGAGGAAAAGAAACUAACAAGGAUUCCCCCAGUAACUGCGAGUGAAGAGGGAUUA
rnacentral:rRNA from 1 species